AUACGUAGGGGGCGAGCGUUGUCCGGAAUGAUUGGGCGUAAAGGGCGCGUAGGCGGCCCGGUAAGUCUGGAGUGAAAGUCCUGUUUUUAAGAUGGGAAUUGCUUUGGAUACUGUCGGGCUUGAGUGCAGGAGAGGUAAGUGGAAUUCCCAGUGUAGCGGUGAAAUGCGUAGAGAUUGGGAGGAACACCAGUGGCGAAGGCGACUUACUGGACUGUAACUGACGCUGAGGCGCGAAAGCGUGGGGAGCGAACAGGAUUAGAUACCCUGGUAGUCCACGCGGUAAACGAUGAAUGCUAGGUGUUGCGGGUAUCGACCCCUGCAGUGCCGGAGUAAACACAAUAAGCAUUCCGCCUGGGGAGUACGGCCGCAAGGUUGAAACUCAAAUGAAUUGGCAGGG
rnacentral:rRNA from 1 species